rnacentral:rRNA from 1 species
CGAACGCUGGCGGCGUGCCUCAUACAUGCAAGUAGAACGCUGAAGGAGGAGCUUGCUCUUCUGGAUGAGUUGCGAACGGGUGAGUAACGCGUAGGUAACCUGCCUGGUAGCGGGGGAUAACUAUUGGAAACGAUAGCUAAUACCGCAUAACAGUAGAUGUUGCAUGACAUUUACUUAAAAGGUGCAAUUGCAUCACUACCAGAUGGACCUGCGUUGUAUUAGCUAGUUGGUGGGGUAACGGCUCACCAAGGCGACGAUACAUAGCCGACCUGAGAGGGUGAUCGGCCACACUGGGACUGUGACACGGCCCAGACUCCUACGGGAGGCAGCAGUAGGGAAUCUUCGGCAAUGGACGGAAGUCUGACCGAGCAACGCCGCGGGAGUGAAGAAGGUUGUCGGAUCGUAAAGCUCGGUUGUAAGAGAAGAACGAGUGUGAGAGUGGAAAGUUCACACUGUGACGGUAGCUUACCAGAAAGGGACGGCUAACUACGUG